rnacentral:tRNA from 1 species
GGUGCUGUGGCACAGUGGGUUAACGCCCUGGCCUGAAGCGCCAGAUUCCCAUAUGGGCACUGGUUCAAGUCCCAGCUGCUCCA